rnacentral:tRNA from 1 species
GCGGGGGUGGCGAAACUGGUAAACGCUCCGGAUUUGGAAUCCGGUGGAGCGGCCCUGACAAGCCAUACGCUCCUUGCGGGUUCAAGACCCGUCCCCCGCA